AUUGAACGCUGGCGGCAGGCUUAACACAUGCAAGUCGAACGAGUGGCGGACGGGUGAGUAAUUCUUGGGAAUCUCGCUUAUGGUGGGGGAUAACUACGGGAAACUGUAGCUAAUACCGCGUACCUUAGGCUGAGCCCAAGGGGGAUUCGGUAGUUGGUGAGGUAAAGGCUCACCCAACCGACUAUUUCUAGCUGGUCUGAGAGGAUGACCAGCCACACUGGCACUGAGACACGGCACAGACUCCUACGGGAGGCAGCAGUGGGGAAUAUUGCGCAAUGGUGGCAACCUGACGAAGCCAGGCCGCGUGAAUGAAGAAGGCUUUCGGGUUGUAAAGUUCUUUCGUUAGCGAGGCGUUAACUACAGAAGAAGCACAGGCUAACUCCGUGCCAGCAGCCGCGGUAAUUC
rnacentral:rRNA from 1 species